rnacentral:rRNA from 1 species
GGGGAAUAUUGUGCAAUGGGGGAAACCCUGACGCAGCAACGCCGCGUGGAGGAUGAAGGUCUUCGGAUUGUAAACUCCUUUGAUGAGGGAAGAAAAAAAUGACGGUACCUCAAAAACAAGCCACGGCUAACUACGUGCCAGCAGCCGCGGUAAUACGUAGGUGGCGAGCGUUGUCCGGAAUUAUUGGGUGUAAAGGGCGUGUAGGCGGGAAUGUAAGUCAGAUGUGAAAUUUAUGGGCUUAACUCAUAACCUGCAUCUGAAACUAUGUUUCUUGAGUGCCGGAGAGGAAAGCGGUAUUCCUAGUGUAGCGGUGAAAUGCGUAGAUAUUAGGAGGAACACCGGUGGCGAAGGCGGCUUUCUGGACGGUAACUGACGCUGAGGCGCGAAAGCGUGGGGAGCAAAC